UUCGGUGUGAGUAGAGCGGCGGACGGGUGAGUAAUGCUUGGGAAUCUGCCCAAUAGUGGGGGAUAACGUGUGGAAACGCACGCUAAUACCGCAUACGUCCUACGGGAGAAAGCAGGGGAUCUUCGGACCUUGCGCUAUUGGAUGAGCCCAAGUCAGAUUAGCUAGUUGGUGGGGUAAUGGCUCACCAAGGCGACGAUCUGUAGCUGGUCUGAGAGGAUGAUCAGCCACACUGGGACUGAGACACGGCCCAGACUCCUACGGGAGGCAGCAGUGGGGAAUAUUGCACAAUGGGCGAAAGCCUGAUGCAGCCAUGCCGCGUGUGUGAAGAAGGCUCUAGGGUUGUAAAGCACUUUCAGUGGGGAGGAAAAGUUCAAAACUAAUAUUUUUGAACCUUGACGUUACCUGCAGAAGAAGCACCGGCAAACUCCGUGCCAGCAGCCGCGGUAAUACGGAGGGUGCGAGCGUUAAUCGGAAUUACUGGGCGUAAAGCGCGCGUAGGUGGUUUGAUAAGCUAGCUGUGAAAGCCCUGGGCUCAACCUGGGAACUGCAGUUAGAACUGUCUGGCUAGAGUAUAGUAGAGGGUGGCGGAAUUUCCUGUGUAGCGGUGAAAUGCGUAGAUAUAGGAAGGAACAUCAGUGGCGAAGGCGGCCACCUGGACUAAUACUGACACUGAGGUGCGAAAGCGUGGGGGAGCAAACAA
rnacentral:rRNA from 1 species